AGAACUGGAUGAUAAUCUUCUGAGGGAGUUUCCGAGGGCUUUAUCGACCGUAUCUCAAUUGAAGGAAUUAUCAAUAUCAGGAAACAGGAUACAGAGAAUGGACUCUGACAGUUUGCCCCGACAGCUCGUUCUGCUCGACAUGAGAUCGACGGCUCUGAGCGAAGUGGCGGACGACACAUUCCGACACAUGACCCGGCUGAGGAAUAUCGUUUUAUCGGAGUCACGUAAUCUGCGAGCUUUGCC